rnacentral:rRNA from 1 species
CCUACGGGAGGCAGCAGUGAGGAAUAUUGGUCAAUGGGCGAGAGCCUGAACCAGCCAAGUCGCGUGAAGGAUGACGGCCCUACGGGUUGUAAACUUCUUUUGUCAGGGAGCAAUUGGGUCCACGCGUGGGCUUAGCGAGAGUACCUGAAGAAAAAGCAUCGGCUAACUCCGUGCCAGCAGCCGCGGUAAUACGGAGGAUGCGAGCGUUAUCCGGAGUUAUUGGGUUUAAAGGGUGCGUAGGCGGAAUAUCAAGUCAGCGGUAAAAAUUCGGGGCUCAACCCCGUCGUGUCGUGGAAACUGAUGGUGUUGAGUGGGCGAGAAGAAUGCGGAAUGCGGGGUGUAGCGGUGAAAUGAAUAGAUAUCACGCAGAACUACGAUUGAGAAGGCAGCAUACCGGCGCCCAACUGACGCUGAAGCACGAAAGCGUGGGUAUCGAACAGGAUUAGAUACCCUUGUAGUC